GAAAUGCGAUACUUGGUGUGAAUUGCAGAAUCCCGUGAACCAUCGAGUCUUUGAACGCAAGUUGCGCCCGAAGCCAUUAGGCCGAGGGCACGUCUGCCUGGGCGUCACACGUCGUUGCCCCCCCAACCCCCUCGGGAGUUGGAUGGGACGGAUGAUGGCCUCCCGUGUGCUCAGUCACGCGGUUGGCAUAAAUACCAAGUCCUCGGCGACCAACGCCACGACAAUCGGUGGUUGUCAAACCUCGGUUUCCUGUCGUGCGCGCGUGUUGGUCGAGUGCUUUCUUAAACAAUGCGUGUCGAUCCGUCGAUGCUUUCAACGCGACCCCAGGUCAGGCGGGGUUACCCGCUGAAUUUAA
rnacentral:misc_RNA from 1 species